rnacentral:rRNA from 1 species
AACGAACGCUGGCGGCAUGCCUAACACAUGCAAGUCGAACGAGACCUUCGGGUCUAGUGGCGCACGGGUGCGUAACGCGUGGGAAUCUACCCUCAGGUUCGGAAUAACUCAGAGAAAUUUGAGCUAAUACCGGAUGAUGACGUAAGUCCAAAGAUUUAUCGCCUGAGGAUGAGCCCGCGUAGGAUUAGGUAGUUGGUGAGGUAAAGGCUCACCAAGCCGACGAUCCUUAGCUGGUCUGAGAGGAUGAUCAGCCACACUGGGACUGAGACACGGCCCUGACUCCUACGGGAGGCAGCAGUGGGGAAUAUUGGACAAUGGGCGAAAGCCUGAUCCAGCAAUGCCGCGUGAGUGAUGAAGGCCUUAGGGUUGUAAAGCUCUUUUACCCGGGAUGAUAAUGACAGUACCGGGAGAAUAAGCUCCGGCUAACUCCGUG